GACGAACCGUCCAAACGUUAUUCGGAAUCACUGGGCUUAAAGGGUGCGUAGGCGGCUCAGAAAGUAGUGUGUGAAAGCCCUCGGCUCAACCGAGGAAUUGCGCGCUAAACUACUGGGCUUGAGGAAGACAGAGGUAAGCGGAACUUAGGGUGGAGCGGUGAAAUGCGUUGAUAUCCUAAGGAACACCAGGAGCGAAGGCGGCUUACUGGGUCUUUUCUGACGCUGAGGCACGAAAGCUAGGGGAGCGAACGGG
rnacentral:rRNA from 1 species